rnacentral:lncRNA from 1 species
CAAAAUUUUAGAAAGCCCAAUACUUAGAUAGUUUAGCUGCAAUGUUUUGAUGGUCUGAAAACUCGAUAGUAAAUUAAAUAGUCAUGCCCACUAGAAUUAUCGACAAGCCCAACAAAUAUUUGGGGCUAAUUCCAAGCGCCUCUUAAAAGAAAAAGAGAACGACCGCAGCACUAAAAUAAAAUAAUUUAUAUUAUACAGACUUCUUUUGAUUCAAAUGAGAUCAAAUUAGUAAAAUAAUUUAUACCUAUAAAAACAAAAAGGAAAUUUGAGGCGAAAUCCUGCUGGCCACUGGUUUCAGAUAUCCUGGAAAAAAAAAAAAAAAAAGUUAAAACAAUUAAUAAAAUAAUACUAAGACUCAAAAUUUUAGACUAAAUUAGAUAAGAGGACAAAAUUAAUAAAUUAGGACCAUCAGAACUAAUAACAAUUGGAAUAAGACUGAAAUAAACCAGAUGGUCAGUGUGGAAAGAAAGAAGUUAAACCGAAGCACACAACUCAGCAACAUACUGAAUGUGCAAGUGUACAACACAGCAAACAAACAUAAAGUGUCACACUAACAAAAAACACCAUGAAACUUCUUGCAUGUCUCUAGAAGUAACAUCAAUCCUAAAAAAAAAUUACCUAACAAAAUUAAAAGCUAACAGUAACAGACUCCAGCUUGCAUUUCAUAAACGAAUAAUGUCUUCAAAAAGUGGACAAACUCUUGGGAAGAACAGUUAAAAUGCCACAAGUGGGAAUCAUAGGAAGAACAGUUUGUUUCAGACCGGAAAAAAAAAAAAAAAGGAAGAACAGUUCUUUAUGUCAAUAACAAAAAAGGAACAUAGAACAACAGGUUCUUUUGUUUAAAAUGCAAGAUGUUGCAACUCAUAAGAAGAACGUUUGGUGUGGGAUAACCAGUGAAUGUUAAUGAUUAUAAACCAAAAUAUACAUACUGAAGAAACAUUUUAAAAUACCCUAUUACUACAUUUGUAUAUCAUAACUUUAUUUUAAACAACAUUUUACUACCAAAAAGAAAACCUGCUAAUACACGGAAACAAAUUUAACACAGAAAUUAUACAUGAUAUAUAUCUUCCAGCUUUUACACAAUCCAGAGGUAAUUGUCAAUAGAUGAUAAAAUAUGAAUGAGAAACUAUAUCAAAUUAAGAUUAAUGUGUACCAACGAGAGAGAGAGAGAGAGAGAGAGAGAGAGAGAGCUGCAACACUUCCUAAAAUUAUAACUUCCACUCUGUCUUCAGUAUAUAUGGGCAGAUAAAUUUUAGUUGCAUAAACAUUGCUUGGGUGUAUAGAUGCAAAAGAAAAUACUUAGAGCUUUUGAGACUCCUCUCCCUUCUCAUCCUAACUUGAAAAGUUGAGACUGAUAUUGCCUAGAACAGUGCGACAAAAUUCGAAUAAUGCACUAACCCAUUUAUGAUUUUUCACGUUCUAAUGUCUUUCACGUGAUGUUACAUUGAAAGUUAGAGAAACCACAUCAUCUGAUGUUCUCUUUUUGUUGGAACAUCAGAUGGUGGAAUAGUCUAGUUAUUGAUGGUUAUUAGACCAUCAGAUUUUGCUACAAAUGAUUACUUUAAAAUUCACCACGCAACCGUGUAUCACUGAUGUAUACAAUGUUUCCGAUUCUAUAUGUAAGAUACCAUCCCCACUCCCUCGUAUCUGAUACAUCAUUCAACAAAAAUAUGCUAUUUCAAAGCACUCCCAUUCUAUCAUUCAUGUGUGCUAAUUUAGUUUUUGUCAGAUAUAUGGUUCAAGUUUUCAUCAAAUACUAUGCUAUUUGCCCCUGAAAACUUAUUUUUGUUCAUUUUGUAUCCGUUUUAAACAAAAAAAGAUAUUUAAAAAAAGAAAAACAUCUACAUGCUUGAAUGAGCAGGGAGUAAAACCUUAACGAUAUAUGGAAGACGCGCUGUCAGUGCCUCUAUCAAUCGACAUCGCACCUUGAGCAAGCUGCCAUGGAGUACCUGGAAUGGAAGCAAACAUC